GGAAUAGCUCAAUGGUAGAGCACGUGCUUUGCAUGCCUGAGAUCCUGGGUUCAAUCCCCAGUACCUCCA
rnacentral:tRNA from 1 species